rnacentral:tRNA from 1 species
AGGCGUGUAGAAGAACUGGCAUAUUCAGCAGACUUAAAAUCUGCCGUCGAAAGACAUUGGGGGUCCGACUCCCCCCACGCCUA